rnacentral:tRNA from 2 species
GGAAGGGUGGCCGAGCGGUUUAAGGCACCGGUCUUGAAAACCGGCGAGGGUGUGAGCUCUCCGUGGGUUCGAAUCCCACCCCUUCUGCCA